CGACAUUUUUAAACAGCACGCUAAUUGCUGUUAAGGAUAACCGUCAACGUAUUAAAAUGUUAAUGCAGGGCCAAGAGCAUUUAAUUAAAACAAUGCAUAUAUACAGCUACUCUUUCUUUUUUGGCACUGCACUCAGAUAUAUGGAAGGUGCAAUUGCUGAAUUUAGAUUACGAAUUGCAAAUCUCAGAACAGCAAUAGAGAUGUUAGGACAGGGAUGUCUGAGUGCAUACUUUGUACCCAGACAAACACUUCUAACUGCACUAACAGAUAUAAACAAUCACUUGCCAGCUGAUAUGUCACUAAUAGAGCCAGUUCAGACAAUUUAUUCAAAUACUAUCAAUUAAUUACCAUAACAGCAGUAACACUCCCUCAUAUGUUAAUAUUAUUCGUUGAUAUACCAUUGAUGAAUCCCGAUCAGUUUUUGAUCUUUUUGAAGUUGUAAGUUUUCCUGUCCAUUAUCCUAACAUUAA
rnacentral:lncRNA from 1 species